GACGAACGCUGGCGGCGUGCUUAACACAUGCAAGUCGAACGGAAAGGCCCUGCUUUUGUGGGCUGCUCGGGUGCCAAACGCGUGCGUGACACGUAUAUAACCUGCUCUUGUUUUUCGGAUAACUUCAGGAAAGUGGGGCUAAUCUCAUAUCGGAUCCCCCGUUCCAUUGAGGGGGUGGGAACUUCUCGGCGGGCGGGGUUGGAUUCGCGGCUUAUCAGCUUGUUGGUUGGGGGGUUGCUUACCAAGGCUUUGGACGGUAGCUGGCCUGAGAGGGUGACCGGCCACAUUGGGACUGAGAUACGGCCGAGACUGCUACGGGAGGCAGCAGUGGGGAAUAUUGCACCAUGGGCGGAAGCCUGAUGCAGCAACGCCGCGUGUGGGAUAGCGGCCUUGGGGUUGUAAAACGCUUUCGCCUGUGACGAAGCGUGAGUGACGGUAAUGGGUAGAGAAAGAACGGCUAACUACGUG
rnacentral:rRNA from 1 species